UCACUCCGGAUCCAUUGUAAUGAGCUGCCGUCAGUGCGCCCAUAGGGGGAACAGGGACCCCACACUAAAGGGGGGGACACAUAGGGAUGGAUGGGAUCUAUAGGGAUGGAUGGGAUCUAUAGGGAUGGAUGGGAUCUAUAGGGGAUGGAUGGGACAUAUAGAGAUGGAUGGGAUCUAUAGGGGAUGGAUGGGACCCACGGCGCUGCAGGAGGGCGUUGGUGGCAACCGUAGUGCCCAUCCGGAUCCAUUGUAAUGAGCUGCCGUCCAGUGCGCCCAUAGGGGGAACAGGGACCCCACACUAAAGGGGGGACAAAACAUAGGGAUGGUUGGACUAUAGGGCAUGGAUGGGAUUAUAGGGGAAUAGAUAGGGCUCUCUCAGCGGCAUGAUGGG
rnacentral:lncRNA from 1 species